rnacentral:rRNA from 1 species
CAGACGAGGAGCUUGCUCCUCUGACGUUAGCGGCGGACGGGUGAGUAACACGUGGAUAACCUACCUAUAAGACUGGGAUAACUUCGGGAAACCGGAGCUAAUACCGGAUAAUAUAUUGAACCGCAUGGUUCAAUAGUGAAAGACGGUUUUGCUGUCACUUAUAGAUGGAUCCGCGCCGCAUUAGCUAGUUGGUAAGGUAACGGCUUACCAAGGCGACGAUGCGUAGCCGACCUGAGAGGGUGAUCGGCCACACUGGAACUGAGACACGGUCCAGACUCCUACGGGAGGCAGCAGUAGGGAAUCUUCCGCAAUGGGCGAAAGCCUGACGGAGCAACGCCGCGUGAGUGAUGAAGGUCUUCGGAUCGUAAAACUCUGUUAUUAGGGAA